AUGUGAAAGCCCAGGGCUCAACCCUGGAAGUGCAUUUGAUACUGCGAAGCUUGAGUGUCGGAGAGGUUACUAGAAUUGUUGGUGUAGUGGUGAAAUACGUAGAUAUCAACAGGAAUACCGGAGGCGAAGGCGGGUAACUGGCCGAACACUGACACUGAGAUCCGAAAGCGUGGGGAUCAAACAGGAUUAGAUACCCUGGUAGUCCACGCCGUAAACCAUGGAUACUUGUUGUUGGAGGUAUUGACCCCUUCAGUGAC
rnacentral:rRNA from 1 species